rnacentral:rRNA from 1 species
UACGUAGGGUCCGAGCGUUGUCCGGAAUUACUGGGCGUAAAGAGCUCGUAGGUGGUUUGUCGCGUUGUCCGUGAAAACUCACAGCUCAACUGUGGGCGUGCGGGCGAUACGGGCAGACUGGAGUACUGCAGGGGAGACUGGAAUUCCUGGUGUAGCGGUGGAAUGCGCAGAUAUCAGGAGGAACACCGGUGGCGAAGGCAGAUCUCUGGGCCGUAACUGACGCUGAGGAGCGAAAGCAUGGGGGAGCGAACAGG